rnacentral:tRNA from 1 species
UAGUGCAGUGGUUAAACGUUUGGCUGUUAACCAAAAGGUCGGCGGUUCAAAUCCACC